rnacentral:misc_RNA from 1 species
AAAAAAAAAAAAAAAAAAAAUGUGGUUACCAAAUGCGAAGGAGUCAAUGUUCUUCCAUCCCCAAGCAUCGGCUAUAGAGAGCGAUCCCGAGGGCAGUAUCCAGAGCGUUUUGCAGAAAUGAGUGUGUUGGGUUUCUGGGUUUCUGAGCGGGUAGAUAUGCCGGAAAAUGCAGCGGCACCUGCGGCAAAGGGGCGAGCAACCACCGUAGUGGCGGAGAAGGAGAGCGAGGUGGUGGCAUGGGAAAUGGCGUUGGGGCUUUUGGGCUGAGAAAACAAGAAUGG